AAUGCCGAGUUGUUAACAAUUCUUAAAAAGAAAGAGUCAAAAAUGUUAGACCUUUGAAAGCAGACUUCCACACAGCAAAAAAAAUAAUUUUACAAAUAAUAUUAGUAUUAGUUUUUGUUGUCUACAAGAAGAUGCAAUCAGUACGGAAAAAUAAAAAUGGGUGCAAUUAAAUAAAAACAGUUUUUCAAAUAUAUCUCUGAAUCAAAGUGAACGUAGUUUGCUUUUGUAGCCAACCUUUUGACUUAAGAUCAUAUUGCACAAUUCAUUCUAUAAAAUAUUAUUUUUAAAUCAA